AAAAAAAUAAAAGUUUAAUUACCAUGUUUGACCCCGUCCAUGUGGAUACGGAGUGAGAUAGGGAAGAUGGUCACGACCGGGCUGUCGAACCAACUCCGCAACACUCAUCACUCCCGGAGGAUCCGGAGGAGCAGGAGCGGGUGCAGCAGCGGGAGCGGGAGGAGCAGGAGCGGGUAAUGGAGAGGGAGAUGUAUGGUAGGACUGUGGGGCGAAACGGAAUCCUGAAUAUGGCUGGACGAACCCCGAGACUAGCUCCCCGUACCACCACGACCACGACGCUGUCGACGCCGGGUAUGAUCAUCAUUAGACCUGUAAAUUAAAAAAAACAUAUUUAAAAAUUAUUUAAAAAUAGUUUUUAAUCACAAAAAUAUAAAUAGUUUAAUAAUUACAAAAAAUAGUUUUAAUAAA